GCCAGUCUUAUUACCAUAGAUUUAUGGAUUUGCAUUAUUAUUACGUUUUACAGUUGGUACUUGCUACCCUCUAGUUUCCCCCAAAACCUUUCGUACUGUUCCCUUAUCCUUAUAUGUAAGUACUCUAUAAUUUCACUGUCAUUACAAGUCAACAUAUACAGUAAGUUUGCUACACUUACUAUGUAAUUUGCGAACUGCAAUCUAAAGCAUUAGCUAUUGCGUAUGAGGUGACUGCAAAACAUCGCUGGCUUGCAGCUGGCUCCUAACUCCUUUGCAUGUAAACGUCUCUGUCUGACACCUCUCAUACAUCGUUUUAUUCUGCCUCUCUCUUUCUCUCCUUGUAAAGAAGUGGAGCAGGGAGGAAUGAGCCACUCGUUGGGGUUGGCGAAAGGUCAGCGCUGACAGGAUGCAGGGUUAAACUGCCAGCUUAAAAUACUGUUCAUGACCCUCGCAGCCUCGUUCUAAAUACCCCCCUUUUGUGUCACCGUCACCGGCAGCAUCAAUAAUCGCCCCUCACAGAUUUAUUAGACAUUGUUGGGCAGGAGGGAAGAGACCAUUUAUGCACAAAAGUCACAUCGAUCUAAUAGCUAAUUUAGUCGCACGGCAAAAAUAGUCACGCUGGUGUGCAGAGCGAGGAGCUGGGAGAACAUUUGAUGUUUUAAACUUUUGUAAAAAGGUUUGCUUUGUUGUUUCAACCUUUACGAGAGAAACAAGGAAGAGUGGGAAAUGAUCCAAGGAUCCAAUUUGAAUUACUGCAAAGCACUAUUGAGUGCAUUUGAUGAAUAACGCUGACCGUUUACCUCCUUAUGGAUGGCUUUCCCACUGUUACCAGCUUGUCUGGUAGCAGACUUGAGAUGCAGAAAAGAGUACAACAAUGCAGUUCCAGAACGGUUCCCAAAAGCAGCACCCUUGCCUCCUUGAGCCUGAACCCAAAGCCCAAGUCGCCAGCAAACAACAUUCCUCCAGGAGAGACGUGCGCCCCUAACAAGAAUCAUUAUGGUGUUGUCGGGAGCACAGGGUGACAGCUGGCCCUCUGCUCAUGUGACCCUUACCACUUUGUCGACUUAAUGUUGGUCACCGUGAUCAAAGCCUGCGGACGACCAGCUGUGACCGCUAAGCUAAACACAGCCAUUUCUGCGAACAGAACCAGUGCAGGAGCUUCUGUAUGAGUAAAAGCUUCAUUGGGGGAUAAAAAAUAAAAAAAUAAAAACAACAACCAAAGACUCACUGCUUCUUUAAAACUGUCCAAGGUGUGCAGAUAAAAAAAAAAAUAAAUAAAAAAUGCAAAUCAUUGUCAAUACUAAGCUAACAGUUUUUGGGGUAAUACAUGAUAAAAUGGUGACAAGAAAGCUUAUGGGAAAAGAGUUGCGUUAUGAAAGAGUUAUAAACACAUAAGGGUUUGCUUUAUUAGAUACAAAUUUUAAAUUGUCACACUCCUACAUUUACAGACUACUGCAAUUAAAUACAACUCGCAUAAUUUAGAGUGCUAAUAUAUAAACCCACCAAAGAACAACGAUGCAGUUAAAGCAAAAACAUACUCCACACAAGCUCAUUGUGAGCAAUGGGCAAGGGAAGCAUUUAAAUGUGGGAACGCCGAGGUCAGAGAGAGCACGGUGCAGCAGACAAUUCCUCCCCCCACAUCGGUUCCUCUCUUUUAAGUUCUGCCCUCCUUUCUGAACCCAUGUUCCAAAGAAAGCCUGCAUAUUUUACCACAUGCACAGCUAAAUACGCUGUUUGGUUUGCCGCAUUCAGAUCCCACCGCAAGGUUACCUCUCUGCCCUUACCUCUUUUUGUUCUUCAGACCACUAGCGAAGCAGUGAAAGGUCUUGGCCGCAUAUAAACGAAUUUCAAAUGUCAUGUCUUGCACGGCUAAAACGAAAGGAAAUGCUCUCGCUGACUGGAGUCAAUGAAUUUGUCAAAAUUUUAUGAUAAUUCAUUCAAUUAUUCCUCAGACAUUCAAAUGAUAGUGGAGAAAUAGACGAGCGUGGAGAGAGUGAAAGGGAGGGCCGCAGUAAUAAUCCCUCUCCUGAUAUUAGAGAGCCUCCAGAGGGGUUUUAAAAGCUCUGUAUCUCUGUGUGGAGAGGACUAAAACUUCCGUCCGUCUCACAGAACAGCGUAAAGCCCUCCCUACUCUCUCUGCCGCUCAAGAUGGGGGUCCCUCACUCACACGCUCACUUACACUUGGAUACAAAAAAAUUCCAAAAAAAGAAGAAGAAGAAAAAAAAAAUCCCCAGCCCACAAACGCAUCCUUCACCAGUCUCAAAGAGAACGACAAUAAAACGAGCCCGGUGCAACUCGCUCUUCUCGCGACAUCUGACCCCCCUCAGUCCCUCCUGCUCUGGGUCGAGUCGAUGAGAAACUAGAGGAAGGACCCCAUGUCAGACCCCUGAGCAAUUGUGCAUCCAGCAUAGCUAAGCUCCCCCUCUAGUGUUCGCAUGUCUGUAUUCCUCGAAGCAACAAA